UACGUAGGGUGCGAGCGUUAAUCGGAAUUACUGGGCGUAAAGUGUGCGCAGGCGGCCGCGCAAGUCGAGUGUGAAAGCCCCGGGCUUAACUUGGGAAUUGCGCUCGAAACUACGUGGCUGGAGUGUGGCAGAGGAAGGUGGAAUUCCAGGUGUAGCGGUGAAAUGCGUAGAGAUCUGGAGGAACACCGAUGGCGAAGGCGGCAUCCUGGACCAUAACUGACGCUGAGGCGCGAAAGCUAGGGGAGCAAACGGG
rnacentral:rRNA from 1 species